UGGAUGCGGAGCUACCAUGCAGUCGUACGAGAAGGUUCUUUCGGGAACUGGAGAGUGGCGCACGGGUGAGUAACGCGUGGGGACCUACCUCUUAGUGGGGGAUAACGGUUGGAAACGACCGCUAAUACCGCAUACGCCCUUCGGGGGAAAGAUUUAUCGCUAAGAGAUGGACCCGCGUUGGAUUAGAUAGUUGGUGAGGUAACGGCUCACCAAGUCAGCGAUCCAUAGCUGGUUUGAGAGGAUGAUCAGCCACACUGGGACUGAGACACGGCCCAGACUCCUACGGGAGGCAGCAGUGGGGAAUAUUGGACAAUGGGCGCAAGCCUGAUCCAGCCAUGCCGCGUGAGUGAAGAAGGCCUUCGGGUUGUAAAGCUCUUUCAGAUGCGAAGAUGAUGACGGUAACAUCAGAAGAAGCCCCGGCUAAUUUCGUGCCAGCAGCCGCGGUAAUACGAAAGGGGCAAGCGUUGUUCGGAUUUACUGGGCGUAAAGGGCACGCAGGCGGUCCUGCCAGUCAGGGGUGAAAA
rnacentral:rRNA from 1 species